AGAUGGUUCCCUGCUUUUUAAACCUCUUAAGGAUUGGACCCAUUUUUUAAGUUUUCGCCUAAAAUGACAUACCCAAAUCUAACUGCCUGUAGCUCAGGACCUGAAGCAAAGAUAUGCAUAUGUUUGAUACCAGAGAUGGAAACUCGAGUCUGAGACUCGGACUCCGAGUCGCUUUUAAGUCGCAAAGAAAAUUACUUGCAAUUUGACUUAGACUUAAGACUUGACUUGGACUCUAGAUGAGAGACUCGUGAACAAGGCAAGUUAUUACUGAGAAGUUUUAGUUGUCCAUUUUGUCAGAUAAGAUGGAACAGGCGGCGUUGUAACACAGAGAAAGUAGUUUAAUACAUAGGGCUAAGAAGCGUUCUAGAACGUUUGCGUCAUUUGUAAGUCACUUUAGUACUACAGCUAAACACUUGUAAUCAGCAACAAUGCCAUCAGGUAGUGAGGCGUUCGUUAUUAAAUUUGGUUACAAGAACCUGCAGUAUAAUGCCAGUGGCAAAAAAACGAAAUGCUGUUUGCAAAACAUUAAAGAUGCUGGCGCAACUACAUCCGACAUUUGAAAACUCACCACGAAAGGUUCACUGAAUUCUGCAGAGCAAAGGUGGCUAGCGCAGGGACAGAAGGACAGAGCAGCAUCGACUCAUUCUUGACCACCACGGGUGUCCCAUGUGUACAGCCAGGGCCACCCCAGGCAGAAGGCCAUAACCGAGAGGCUAUACUGCAAGACCUAAUAAUUUCCUGCAACCUGCCUAUGUCCUUAGUGGACAACCCUCACUUUAGGCAUUUCAUGUCAGUGGUAGAUGAUAAAUAUAGACCAGUAAGUAGGCCCACGUUGACCAGGCGCCUGCAUGGCUGCAAUCAAAAGUGCCCUAGAGAAGACAGAAUCAGUGUCUGUCACUAGAUAUAUGGACUGACAGGGCCAUGAGGGGCAUCAUGGGAGUAAGGGCCCAUUACAUGGCCACAGAAGAGAAAAAAAAACUCCCAGACUGGAGUCAGUUCUGUUGAGCUGUGAUAGAUUCACAGGGUCACACACUGGGAAAAGAAUCAGUAAUACAUUUGAAGUAAUAUGUGAUAAUUUUGGCAUAAAACAUAAAUUAGAUUAUAUCAUAUGUGAUAACACUGCAAAUAUGAAAAAGGCCUUCACAGUUUGUUUCCCCAAAGCAAGCAAUGAUCAUAAUGGUGAUGAUGUGGAUAACCUCAGCCUAUGGGAAGCAUUUGGUGAAGAGUACAAUGCUGAUGUAGAAGCUAUCCAAACCAACUGCAGGCAACAGCGCUUGCAGUGCUUUGCCAUUCAUUACAACUGGUGAUUAGAAAUGGACAAAAGGAAACAAAAAUCAUAAACAGUGUGAUGGCUAAGGUAACUAAACUUUGCAGCUUACUACAUACUACCUGUGGUCUGAAAGAAGCAUUUGAAGCAGAGUUCCAAGCCAGUCAUAGUAUCCCUGCUGCUGUGUCUACCAGAUGGAAUUCCAUCCUCUGGCUUGUUAAAGCAGUCACCAAUCGGAAUAAAUAAAGCCUCAAUACUCUACUUGAGCCCCAAGGAAACAAGGAGCUCUGCUUAUCACCAAGGGAAUGGAGCCAGCUAGUGGACAUUUUGGACCCUUUUGUCCAGGCCACCGACCUUACUCAGAGGGAGAAAGUGGUGACUCUCAGUGCUGCCCUUCCUUGUGUACUGUCACUCAACUAUCGUCUGCAAAGUAUACUGAGCACAAGUUGUCACCUAGUCAGUCUAGUAAAACCACUGCAGCAGUCACUCAAACGCCGAUUCCCGGGGAUGUUUGUGAAUGUCAGAAUGGAGCACUCGGAUGAACAAAAUUUCCAUUUGGUGACAAUGUAUAUAUAAUGGCUGCACUGCUGGACCCAUCUUUCUGCCUGUUCUGGCUUGAUCAUGAUGUCCUCAUACCACAUGAAGAUCAAGCUGAAUUGAAAGAGAGUCUGAUUGACCUUGUUCUGCCUGAGGCACGGAAAGUCACUGUUACGGAGAGCAGUUUACGAAGAUAAUGAAGAACAACCACCUGCCAAAACCUCCAGACUGUUCUCUGGCUACCGAAACAAGAUUAGAAAGGAGACAUAAAGUCAUCUUUCAGAGCAGAUAUUAUUCGGUACAUUAAAGUAUAUUCUGAUGAAAAUUAAGUUGAUUGCUUGGAUUUUUGGAGAAUCCAUGCAAAAGACUUUCCAAGGCUCAAGCAGGUAGCAAUGACAGUGUUGGCUGUGCCUGCCACCAGUGCCCCAGUGGAGAGAAUGUUUUGUCAUGGAGGCCUAAUCAUGCGCCCUCAUCGUGCCAGGCUCAGUGCAAGGACGCUGACAAACUUGAUCUUUCUGAAAUGCAACCCGUCUGCAACAUAAAUGUUCUCUGUCUUAGGGCACAGGACGUAAUUUGCUAAUUGUUACAGGAAAUUGUAUUUCUGUUAAGUGUCCAGGUCAGUAAAUAUAUUUUAGGAAUAAAGGUCAUUACGUUUGAUAUAUAGGACACUUUAGUGCAGUUAUUGAACAGUUGUCAGUCAUUUUUGGUUUGCAUUCAUGCUUGUCAUUUAUCUUCCCUCACCUACAGAUGUUCUGUUUGUGUGACAGAAUGAAGUGAAAUAUAGACAAUGUUUGUCACAAAAUACCAUGCACUUUAAAAUGUUAUGUUAGCUUUUUUUCAUAUCCGGUACAAUUACUUUUAUUAAUGUAAACUGUCUACAUUUUAAGAGGAAUUUAUUUUUAUUUAAAUAGCGCCUGAUGUGCUUUCUUUCAUACAAGUAUGGACUAAUGGACAAGGGAGUCUCUUCAAAUAAUUUACAAGGUGUAUAGACCUAACCCACAGCAGGCAGAAAGCCAUUGCCAAAGGGACUUGAGACUUGACAAAGACUUGGCCCUAAUAGACUUGAGACUUGACUUGGACUCUACCUCAAAGACUUGUGAACAUCACUGCUUGAUAUCAUUUGAAAGGAAACACUUUGAAGUUUGUGGAAAUGUGAAAUUAAUGUAGGAGAAUAUAACACAUUCGAUCUGGUAAAAGGUCAUUUGCAAGAGAAAGGCAAUAAUAUAAUUUUGUAGUUUAAGCAAAAAUUUGAUUUUGGCCACUAGAUGGCAGCAUUGGGUGUGCAAAGUUUCAGAUUGAUCCAGUGAAGCAUUGCAAUACUGGACAAUAUUUUGUAUCAAGUCUGCCCAAAUGUGCCGAAUUUGAUACAUUUUCAAGUACAUAACUAUAGAGAACAUACCCAAAUGAUAUGGUAAUACAAAAUGUAAGUUUACACACUCCCAGGAAUGUCAUACAUGAUUGAUCAUUAGCUUAUACACUAACUUUCACACAUCUAGAUGGCCGGGCGGGGUUGGUGUGGAGCUAGAGACAGCAGGGGUUCAACUGUAGAAACCAGUUCCUACAUUUGAAUAUAAAAAUUGAUUUUAUCAAAUUAAUCUAUGCUACAAUUUAUCUCUGGGACCCUCAGAAUGACAAAUCAGACCAAGAUUACUGAAUGUAAGUAUAUUAUUUACCUUCAGAGGUGAAUGUAUCAAACCAGUUGCUGUGACAAAAGUUUUUUAUUGUUGUGCACUCUCCUCAAACAAAAGCAUGGUAUUUUUUCACUGUAAUAGCUACUGUAAAUUGGACAGUGCAGUUAGAUUAACAAGACUUAAAGCUUUCUGCUCAUAUAACACAUGUCUAUGUCCUGGAAAGUUUGCUGUUACUUACAACGUAAGAUAUCAUUUCCCAACAUAACUAUAAAUAAUGAUGUAUCGCCUUGAUAAUAAUG
rnacentral:lncRNA from 1 species